rnacentral:rRNA from 1 species
GACGAACUGUGCAAACGUUAUUCGGAAUCACUGGGCUUGAAGAGUGCGUAGGCGGUUUCGUAAGUAGGGUGUGAAAGCCCCCAGCUCAACUGGGGAACUGCGUCCUAAACUGCGAGGCUGGAGUGAGGUAGGGGUGUGUGGAACUUCCGGUGGAGCGGUGAAAUGUGUUGAUAUCGGAAGGAACGCCGGUGGCGAAGCGACACACUGGGCCUUGUCUGACGCUGAGGCACGAAAGCCAGG